GCCACCGUAGCUCAGGGGUAGAGCACUCGAUUCGUAAUCGAGCGGUCGUCGGUUCAAAUCCGACCGGUGGCU
rnacentral:tRNA from 1 species